AUUACUUUAUAUGACAGUGGAACAACAGUACAUUAGGCAGCAGCAGUACAAGGACAAGCGUAUGAAUUCUUAGUCAAACAAGUCUUUGGACAGCGCUUUAGUGCCGACAGUAGAUCGAGAAAACCCCUUAGCCCUUGCAAACAGACACCUCCUCUGUACUUCUUUUGACCUGUACACCGAUUGUAAAAACGUCGC